CUUCCCCGGAAGGCACUACUUCUUUAUUCCUCUUCUCUUCACAGCCCUUCCUUUUAAUUUGACCAUGGCUCUCUCUGGCAAAGCUGUGAUGCAGAUAAGAAAGAUGUGUGAGCGUAGACUAUCAGCUUGCCCAGAGGGGUCUGCUCUCACUUGUCAUGGGAUGGAGAGAAAGAGACCCCCAAAGACACCUGUCUGACACCUCUCAUCAGAGUACUAUCUCGGAUCCAGCAGAGGGCCACUGAGGGUCUGAAAUAUCACACCUUUAAGCUACUGUUUGCACUCAGCGCCUGUCAUAUCCACUUUAGAAAACAACAGCCCGGGGGUGUGCGAAAGAGGCAAGCCAUUGUAAUAAAAAAGUGCUGAAAAAAGCUAAAUAUGUUGUAUUAUGGUAUCAUAAUACAUUGUGUCAUCCACAAUGCAAUGUGAGGCAUUAAAGGAAUAGCUUCCCAUGCUUCAGCAUU